AUUACUCACGAGUGACAGAACCAACGAGCUUCAUCUCCCAAGAGGCUGGUGCAUCUGUUUAAAGGAGCAGGCACUAGGCAGAGCAGCCCCCACCCCACCCUCCAUGGCAGAGUGCAGUGGGGGAAGGUUACAUCAUCUGGAGACUGAGAACUUGGGAUGCUCCUUGUUCAUCCAAGCAUUUGAACAAAUCCAGUGUCCUUUUUGAGCAAAAUAUGAGCCCCACCUUUAGAAUCUGUGAAUCUCCCCUUCAGAUGGGAAAGCUGUUUUUGUGGCUAAAAUUAGAAAUAACCCAAAUGUCUAUGAAAUGAUGCAUGGAUAGAUAAAAUGUGAUAUACCCACACAAUGGAAAAGUAUUUAUCAAUAAAAAGGACUGAAGUCCUGAUACAUACUCCAACAUGAAUAAAUAUCCAAAACAUCAUGCUAAGUGAAAGGAGCCAGACACAAAA
rnacentral:lncRNA from 1 species